GACGAACGCUGGCGGCGUGCUUAACACAUGCAAGUCGAACGGAAAGGCCCUGCUUUUGUGGGGUGCUCGAGUGGCGAACGGGUGAGUAACACGUGAGUAACCUGCCCUUGACUUUGGGAUAACUUCAGGAAACUGGGGCUAAUACCGGAUAGGAGCUCCUGCUGCAUGGUGGGGGUUGGAAAGUUUCGGCGGUUGGGGAUGGACUCGCGGCUUAUCAGCUUGUUGGUGGGGUAGUGGCUUAACAAGGCUUUGACGGGUAGCCGGCCUGAGAGGGUGACCGGCCACAUUGGGACUGAGAUACGACCCAGACUCCUACGGGAGGCAGCAGUGGGGAAUAUUGCACAAUGGGCGGAAGCCUGAUGCAGCAACGCCGCGUGCGGGAUGACAGCCUUCGGGUUGUAAACCGCUUUCGCCUGUGACGAAGCGUGAGUGACGGUAAUGGGUAAAGAAGCACCGGCUAACUACGUG
rnacentral:rRNA from 1 species